GGGAGUCACAUAGGAAAAACCGUGUGGCAAUCCAGAGGCGUGAUGCGGACCGAACUAAAGUAGGGAAGUGUGUGAGCCAUGAAUCAAGAAAAGCCGCUAUUGUUUUUAAGAUACCCGUACCGUAAACCGACACAGGUGGAUGAGGAGAGAAUCCUAAGGCCGGCGGAAGAAGCAUUGUUAAGGAACUCGGCAAAAUGACCCCGUAACUUCGGGAGAAGGGGUGCCAACGAGAGUUGGCCGCAGAGAAUAGGCUCAAGCAACUGUUUAGCAAAAACACAGGUCUAUGCAAAACCGUAAGGUGAGGUAUAUGGGCUGACGCCUGCCCGGUGCUGGAAGGUUAAGAGGAGAGGUUAGCGCAAGCGAAGCUUUGAAUUUAAGCCCCAGUAAACGGCGGCCGUAACAAUAACGGUCCUAAGGUAGCGAAAUUCCUUGUCGGGUAAGUUCCGACCCGCACGAAAGGCGUAAUGAUUUGAGCGCUGUCUCGACAAUGCAUCCGGUGAAAUUGAAGUACCAGUGAAGAUGCUGGUUACCCGCGCCAGGACGGAAAGACCCCAUGGAGCUUUACUCCAGUUUGGUACUGGGGUCCGGCAGUGCAUGUACAGGAUAGGUGGGAGGCUGAGAACCUGGAACGCCAGUUUCAGGGGAGCCAUUGUUGGGAUACCACCCUUGUGCUGCUGGGCUUCUAACCAGCGGCCUUUAUCAGGCCGGGGGACAAUGCCAGACGGGGAGUUUGACUGGGGCGGUCGCCUCCGAAAGGGUAUCGGAGGCGCUCAAAGGUUCCCUCAGAAUGGUCGGAAACCAUUCGAAGAGUGCAAAGGCAGAAGGGAGCUUGACUGCGACACCGACGGGUGGAGCAGGUACGAAAGUAGGACUUAGUGAUCCGGUGGUAUUAAGUGGGAAUGCCAUCGCUCAACGGAUAAAAGCUACCCUGGGAUAACAGGCUUAUCACUCCCAAGAGUUCACAUCGACGGAGUGGUUUGGCACCUUGAUGUCGGCUCAUCGCAUCCUGGGGCUGUAGUAGGUCCCAAGGGUUGGGCUGUUCGCCCAUUAAAGCGGUACGCGAGCUGGGUUCAGAACGUCGUGAGACAGUUCGGUCCCUAUCCGGCGUGGGCGUAGGAUAUUUGAGAGGAGCUGUCCUUAGUACGAGAGGACCGGGAUGGACUGACCUCUGGUGUACCGGUUGAACCGCCAGGUUCACGGCCGGGUAGCCAAGUCGGGAAGGGAUAAACGCUGAAGGCAUCUAAGCGUGAAGCCCCCCUCAAGAUGAGAUAUCCCAUUCGAAAGAAGUAAGACCCCUUGAAGACGACGAGGUAGAUAGGGCAGAGGUGGAAGUGCCGUAAGGCAUGGAGCUGACUGUUACUAAUCGGUCGAGGGCUUGACCUA
rnacentral:rRNA from 1 species